UUCCCUUUUUCUUUGAUUUUCUUUUAAUUCCUCUUAUAGAAAGAAGACACUAGAUCAUGAUGAAGUACUGUUUAGGACGACUGUAAAGACGUCGACAAUGCAUGCCAAUGGAUUUUGCAGCAGCAGAUCAGGAGGCUGGCUUUAAAUUAGGGUCACUGCUGGCUGAUCGGCUAUGCCUAGAGAUGCAAUCUAGCAGCAGCAUAUCAACACUUGGUGACACUUGUUCAACGGCCAAGGAUUGAUCAAGAUAAAAUCGUCUUCCUCACUCCCAACUUUCAACAUUCCCAUGCAUCCAUGGAGAUCAGAGAUCUCAUGUAUCCCAUGUCGCUUUGAGUAGUAGGCCAUUAGAAAUCCUGCAGGAAAAACCUAAUUAUGGAGUGCCAAAAAAGUUGAAGCAUGCACGUCCUGAUCCUAAUAAGCAGCGCCUUGGGAAAACUACUUGGGCCGAUAAGGAUGAUAAUCAUGAUCAGAAGAAAUGCAAAAGCCGGAUGAAGAAGAAGAAGAAGAAGGGACUUUCACCAAAUCGGCCACGCUUGAAAAUAUUUGGCUGUUAAUCAUCUAUCUAUU